CGACACAGUCAUCCAGCCAUCAUUAAACAAAACCCCUAUGCUAAUCAUUCACUGUGUGUGCCUCUUACAUGCCUGUUUUCCUUCAAAAAGUUGAUGUGCUCAUCUACAACGCAGGCAUCUACCAGUGUCCCUACACCAAGACAGGAGGGUUUCGAGAUGCAGCUGGGGUUCAACCACCUGGAUCACUUCCUCCUCACCCACCUCGCCCCGGACUUCCUGUUGAAGUUGUUUUGUGUAUAUUGUAUUCCUUAGCACAAACCAGUUUGCAACGGAAAAUGAAAAAACGAAAGUUUCUUAUGAGACAAAAGUUCAGGGAUAAUAACAUGUUCUACUUCUACUACCACUCCUGUGAGAUCAGCUGCAACAAAGCGUUCUGUUACAGCCAGAGCAAGCUGGCUAAUCUUCCCGUGAGCUGACCCGACGCUGGAAGACGAGGGCGUCACGGUCAACACACUCUCCCCGGGCAUGGUGAGGACCAGGCUGGGGAGGCACAUCUACAUCCCUCUUCCUGGCAAAACCUCUCCUCUACCUGGCCUGGCUGGCCUUCUUCAAGAGCCCACUGGAGGGCACUUGGACGCCGCUCUACCUGGCGUGUUCGCCCAACAUGGAGGGAGUGGUUGGGAAGUGCUUCGCUAAUUGCGAGGAGCUGAUGCCCAAGGUAAUGGAUGAUCACUCGGUCAAGAGGCUGUGGAACCUGAGUGAAAGCAUGUUGGGGAUCAAGUCUCAGUAAGAGACCUGGGAUCCAGACAGUCUUCUAGAGGCGAUCCGAGAUACUUUUCCCUGUGAAUCAAGUGAAUUGGGGGAUGAUUGAUUGAGACUGUUUGGGAUUUCAUUGGAACUGGGAUCAGUGGGCAAAGUUCCUGAUGUUUUUAAUUAACCUUGGUGUGGGUGUGUGCAUCUGUGAGAGAUGUGCAAAUAUUGUGUGGAUGGAGUGUGAGUGGGAUUGGAGGUGUGCAUGCCGAGAGUGCUAAUAAUGUGAGCAAUGUGCCUGUGAAACAGAGAAGAUCCAUUGAGAAUUUCUACAUGCAGUGUUCCAUGAAUGUGUAACUAAGUAUACCAGUUCCCAUAGGAACCUACUAGAUUAUAUGUACUGUACUUUUUUUCACCAGUGUUUACUGAAUCACAAAUUCACACAAUCAAAGUGGAGGGGAGCUAAUUCCUUGUAGUGAUUAGCAAAGGGAAGGUGGACUGUCAUAUUUGCUUUUAAUGUGUGCUUGUUUGGUUAUAGUGCUAUCGAAAUAUCCCCGGAGUGGUUUGAAAAGCAAGCAAAUUGAUAUCUAGUUCACCAGCUGUAUAUAAAUGCUAAGGCAGCUAAGCUCAUGCAUACUGCAUCCUGCAUUUGACGGUGGGAAAAAGGAAUAGAGGACUGGUUGUGUUGUGUUGCCUAAUCCAGUUUUCGUCUCGUGAAGUGUUUGAAUUGUAAAUGCGUUGCCUUCUGCUGUGACUGGAUGCACAGGAACAAUUAAGUUUACAACGAGAUUCAGAUUCAGUUGGAUGAUGUUGCGAUGUUGAUGCUGUGGUGGCUCCCUCCUCUGGAUAGAUGUAAUCUCUCAAGUAAUUCCCUUUUCGCUUCAGAGCGAGUGAGUGAGAGGGGGAGUGCGUUUUGAAUGUCAAUGCGGAGGUAUGGCUUAUGCUAUACGUUAACAAAAUAGUCGACAAUCCAAAGAUACAUGUGUGCGCACAGCUUGAUUUGAAUGCUUUUAAAACAACAUUGUUUCUGCAAUCUUUUUAGCAAAUGGCAUAAUUAUUAUCGUCCACACACACGCACGGACGCACGCACUCACACACACCAACACUAAAUCACACUUUAGCAAACCUUGGAGCAUCGACAUGUGUAGUUUGUGCUUUAUUAGGUUAAAUGAAACACAACAGAAAUAUAGAAACAUGCAUCAUUGUGUGAUAGAAACAGAUUUGUGGUUGCUUGAUUGGGGUGUGGGCAUCUGAGGUAGAGUGGGACAGGAAAAUGUCUCCAAGGGUUAUAGAGCAAAAAUAACAUCAACGGGUAAGACAAAUGUUUACAUCUCAAAAAGAAGUCCAUCAGUAGCAAAAUGAUACAUACUUCGAACGGUCUCUUUAAGCGCUCUGGAUAUUUCAAAAUGGUGUCAAAGCAAAAACUGAACGAAUCAAUGGAGCUGCACUCAAACGGGUUUAGGCUAGAGGGGCAUCUCUAUUUUAGAGUUAAAAACAUCUCUUAGUGCUGCAACUUUAACCCAUGCCUCAUUGUCCUACAUAUUUUACUCUGCAGAAAUGCAGCACAGUAUUCAGUAUUCAGCCUGUGAUUGACAAAACAAAUCUCAAUGUGCAAUUUGGACAGUCUUCUUUAACAUUCCAACGAUCUCUCUUUGAUUUGCAGAUGCUCUUAAUAACCAGACAUAUUUACAAUGUGUCGGUGUCCACAUCUGGUUGAAUUGUAGUCAUUUCUUUACAAUCAUCAGUUUUAUAUGUUCUUUUGAAUGCAACUACAAACAAAAUAUGUCUUUGAACACUCAAUUGUUGUAGUUGUAAUUAAAUAUAUUUAUAUGUUUCAACAGUUACUUUAAAUACUUCCUUCAUCCACAUGGAGCAACUGUGGUCUCUGGUACCUCCAAAUAUUAUUUUAUGUACCAAAUGUACCAAAGGUAGCAGAGUCUUUUCCUAUAUUCCUCACUCAUUUGGCACAGUAAUAAAUUGUCAAUUCACCUGA